AUUUUCUUAGUAUAAAUAGUAUUGCUGACUUCCAAUCAGCAGGUCCCGGAUCCAGCUGGGAGAAAAUA
ensembl:Mt_tRNA